GGAAAAAGUUAUUCCUCAGCUAUCCUCCAGCCAAACAGGUCCUUAGGGCAAACAGAGUUAUAGCCUCUCAUUUGAGAGAGAGAGAGAGAGAACCUGAAAGUGGAAUGCAUAUGUUAGUUGUCCCAAUUUUUAAUCCAUUUCUGGAAGCAGUAGGAAAAUUUUGUUACGAGUUUUAAUUUCCUGAAGUAACAGAAAUUACAACUUUCCUAAAGUUGUGCCUAAUUCCGCACAAGUUUUGGUAGAGUCAUAUUUGCCGUGUCACCAACUUUCCAUCGUGAUCACGAAAAUCUUUUUGUGAAGUGAAUCCACUUUUGCCAAAAAUUAACAUGGAUUUGGUUUUACCAAAAUAGAUUCGAACCAGUGAAGAAGUAUUGCCAUUUUUUUUUUGCAUUUUGAACCCGUAGCUAGCUAAAAAAACAAGUGGAGAUGCU
rnacentral:lncRNA from 1 species